CCUACGGGAGGCAGCAGUGGGGAAUUUUGGACAAUGGGCGAAAGCCUGAUCCAGCAAUGCCGCGUGAGUGAAGAAGGCCUUCGGGUUGUAAAGCUCUUUUGUCAGGGAAGAAACGGUGAGAGCUAAUAUCUCUUGCUAAUGACGGUACCUGAAGAAUAAGCACCGGCUAACUACGUGCCAGCAGCCGCGGUAAUACGUAGGGUGCAAGCGUUAAUCGGAAUUACUGGGCGUAAAGCGUGCGCAGGCGGUUUUGUAAGUCUGUCGUGAAAUCCCCGGGCUCAACCUGGGAAUUGCGAUGGAGACUGCAAGGCUAGAAUCUGGCGGAGGGGGGUAGAAUUCCACGUGUAGCAGUGAAAUGCGUAGAGAUGUGGAGGAACACCGAUGGCGAAGGCAGCCCCCUGGGUCAAGAUUGACGCUCAUGCACGAAAGCGUGGGGAGCAAACAGGAUUAGAUACCCUGGUAGUCCACGCCCUAAACGAUGUCUACUAGUUGUCGGGUUUUAAUUAACUUGGUAACGCAGCUAACGCGUGAAGUAGACCGCCUGGGGAGUACGGUCGCAAGAUUAAAACUUAAAUGAAAUUGAGGCGNGAGAGNGCGAGACGACGACGAGGAGGAGG
rnacentral:rRNA from 1 species